AUUGAACGCUGGCGGCAUGCCUUACACAUGCAAGUCGAACGGCAGCACGGGAGCAAUCCUGGUGGCGAGUGGCGAACGGGUGAGUAAUACAUCGGAACGUGCCCAAUCGUGGGGGAUAACGCAGCGAAAGCUGUGCUAAUACCGCAUACGAUCUACGGAUGAAAGCAGGGGAUCGCAAGACCUUGCGCGAAUGGAGCGGCCGAUGGCAGAUUAGGUAGUUGGUGAGGUAAAGGCUCACCAAGCCGUCGAUCUGUAGCUGGUCUGAGAGGACGACCAGCCACACUGGGACUGAGACACGGCCCAGACUCCUACGGGAGGCAGCAGUGGGGAAUUUUGGACAAUGGGCGAAAGCCUGAUCCAGCCAUGCCGCGUGCAGGAUGAAGGCCUUCGGGUUGUAAACUGCUUUUGUACGGAACGAAACGGCCUUUUCUAAUAAAGAGGGCUAAUGACGGUACCGUAAGAAUAAGCACCGGCUAACUACGUGCCAGCAGCCGCGGUAAUACGUAGGGUGCAAGCGUUAAUCGGAAUUACUGGGCGUAAAGCGUGCGCAGGCGGUUAUGUAAGACAGUUGUGAAAUCCCCGGGCUCAACCUGGGAACUGCAUCUGUGACUGCAUAGCUAGAGUACGGUAGAGGGGGAUGGAAUUCCGCGUGUAGCAGUGAAAUGCGUAGAUAUGCGGAGGAACACCGAUGGCGAAGGCAAUCCCCUGGACCUGUACUGACGCUCAUGCACGAAAGCGUGGGGAGCAAAAAGG
rnacentral:rRNA from 1 species